rnacentral:rRNA from 13 species
AAAACUUUCAACAACGGAUCUCUUGGUUCUGGCAUCGAUGAAGAACGCAGCGAAAUGCGAUAAGUAAUGUGAAUUGCAGAAUUCAGUGAAUCAUCGAAUCUUUGAACGCACAUUGCGCCCCUUGGUAUUCCGAGGGGCAUGCCUGUUCGAGCGUCAUUA